rnacentral:rRNA from 1 species
UACGUGGGGAGCAAGCGUUGUCCGGAAUCAUUGGGCGUAAAGCGCGCGUAGGUGGCCAUGUAAGUCCGCUGUGAAAGUCAAAGGCUCAACCUUUGAAAGCCGGUGGAUACUGCAUGGCUAGAGUACGGAAGAGGCGAGUGGAAUUCCUGGUGUAGCGGUGGAAUGCGCAGAUAUCAGGAGGAACACCAAUAGCGAAGGCAGCUCGCUGGGACGUUACUGACACUGAGGCGCGAAAGCGUGGGGAGCGAACAGG